GGUGGAGUGGGGGCAACUUGACUCAUUCAGCUACCCUUAUAAAUGGCUCCUCAUUGUUCUCUCUUAAAAUUAAGGCCCUCAUUUACACCACGCCUGACCCUUCCUCGUGAGACAAGAAUCUUCACCAUCUGAAUUAUAGGUGCUCGUCUUUUUUUAUUCUUCCCUUUACUGGAGGGGGUGGACUUGGAUCUAAACACUCACUAUCAGCUUGUGCAUCUCACUGCUGACAUCAUGGUGCUACUUGACAUUCUUCGCAGCACUCCCCCUGGAAAUAAAAAUGCGGGGUCCACCCCAGAUACAGAAUCUGCCCCGUGAAUGUGUGUAUUGACGCCUCUACACAGACAGACCCUCUGCCUGACCCUCCCUCCAGCUCCCAGUCCAAGGACGACACCGCCUUCUCUGAUCUGGGGUCUGACCAUUCGUCCCUCUUCUCACCUGUCAGUCCGCCGUACUCUCAGUAUUCUCCUUAUUUCACCCCUGCUGGCUAUCCCAUGUCCCCAGGACGCACCCCAUUUUCUUCCCCCUACCGCUCUCCUCAGGAUUAUACACCCACUAGUCCUGUGAAUUUUCAAUAAAAUUACAUAUUACUCAUA